rnacentral:rRNA from 1 species
UACGUAGGGGGCAAGCGUUGUCCGGAAUCAUUGGGCGUAAAGAGCGCGUAGGCGGCCCUGUAAGUCCGCUGUGAAAGUCAAGGGCUCAACCCUUGGAUGCCGGUGGAUACUGCAGGGCUAGAGUCCGGAAGAGGCGAAUGGAAUUCCUGGUGUAGCGGUGAAAUGCGUAGAUAUUGGGAGGAACACCAGUGGCGAAGGCGGCUCACUGGACCGGUUCUGACGCUGAGGCGCGAAAGCGUGGGGAGCAAACAGG